GACGAGGGGUCCAAGCGUUGUUCGGAAUUAUUGGGCGUAAAGCGGGUGUAGGCGGCUCUAUAAGUCAGAAGUGAAAGCCCCGAGCUUAACUUGGGAAGUGCUUUUGAUACUGCAGAGCUUGAAUGUGGGAGAGGGUAGUGGAAUUCCAGGUGUAGUGGUGAAAUGCGUAGAUAUCGGGAGGAACACCAGUGGCGAAGGCGACUACCUGGCCUGUUCUUGACGCUGAGGCGCGAAAGCUAGGGGAGCAAACGGG
rnacentral:rRNA from 1 species